rnacentral:rRNA from 1 species
UACGUAGGUGGCAAGCGUUGUCCGGAUUUACUGGGCGUAAAGGGCGUGCAGGCGGUCUGUUAAGUGCAGGGUGAAAGCUCCCGGCUCAACUGGGAGAGGUCCUUGCAUACUGGCGGACUUGAGGGGGGUAGAGGAAAGUGGAAUUCCCGGUGUAGUGGUGAUAUGCGCAGAUAUCGGGAGGAACACCUGUGGCGAAGGCGGCUUUCUGGGCCCUACCUGACGCUGAGACGCGAAAGCGUGGGGAGCGAACCGG